UUGGACAGAAUCCUUCGGGAGGAAGACCAUUGUGACUGAGUGGCGGACGGGUGAGUAACGCGUGGGUAACCUGCCUUGUACAGGGGGAUAACAGUUGGAAACGGCUGCUAAUACCGCAUAAGCGCACAGUACCGCAUGGUACAGUGUGAAAAACUCCGGUGGUAUGAGAUGGACCCGCGUCUGAUUAGCUGGUUGGCGGGGUAACGGCCCACCAAGGCGACGAUCAGUAGCCGACCUGAGAGGGUGACCGGCCACAUUGGGACUGAGACACGGCCCAAACUCC
rnacentral:rRNA from 1 species